GACGAACGCUGGCGGCGUGCCUAAUACAUGCAAGUCGAACGCAGUGGGGACGGGUGAGUAACACGUGGGUAACCUCCCCUCAGAGGGGAUAACACUUGGAAACAGGUGCUAAACCGAUACUGAUGGAUGGACCCGCGGUGCAUUAACUUGUUGGUGAGGGAACGGCUCACCAAGGCCACGAGGCAUAGCCGACCGAAGAGGGUGAGCGGGCAAACUGGGACUGAGACACGGCCCAGACUCAUAAGGGGUGCAGCAGUAGGUAAUCUUCGGCAAUGGACGAAAGUCUGACCGAGCAACGCCGCGUGAGUGAAGAAGGUUUUCGGAGCGGAAAACGUUGUUGUUAGAGAAGCGGGAUCUAACCAGAAAGCCACGGCUUACUACGUGCCAGCAGCCGCGGUAAUAC
rnacentral:rRNA from 1 species